UGAUCGAUCGAUUAUUCCAAUUGUCUAAACCAGGUAUCCAUACGAAUCGGCUCAGAUCAACUACACUUACAGCCUCUGCCCUUCGCACUCCGACUCCGAGUUCUUCCUCUGUUGGGUCGAGUUUUCGCACGAACGAUUGGAGGAAUACAAGUGGAAUUACCUUGAUCAAUACAUCUGCUCCGCCGGAUCGGAGGAUUUCAGCCUGAUCGAGUCGCUGAAGUUCUGGCGCACGCGCUUCCUGCUGCUCCCAGCCUGCGUUGGCGCCACCAAGCGCAUAAUGGAAGGCGAGGCGCACUGUGAUGUUUACGGCGAGAAGGUGCGGUCAGACGAGGAGGAAUGGCAGCUGUUGGACGGUUUCAUCCGCUUCGUGGAAGGGCUGAACCGCAUCCGCCGGCGACACCGGUCGGAUCGCAUGAUCCGGAAAGGUAAAGUGACCGGACCACCGGUCGCAGCGUCGCAUCCGCUGGAACCACCGGCUCCCGUGCCGAACCUCGGGAAGAAAGGGACGUCUGCGCUCUCCGCGCUUUUGGAGAUGGAGGCCAGCCAAAAGUGAGUCGGCGGCGAUUUUCCAUG